rnacentral:lncRNA from 1 species
UUUUUUUUGUUAUUAUUUUAAACAAUAUUUUUCAGUAUCUAAAUAAUUGUUUUGUACACUAUUUCGUAAUGUUUUUCACUGAAAACGUAGCAUUGAGGUGUAUUUUCCGGAAUUUGCCGAGUAUCACCGGAAUGCCAUGUGAUAACGUUACGGAAAGGCAUGUGAUAACAAUCGAAGCAUGUGAUAAACUUUUCAUAUCAGCCCGCUA